CUCUGUACUCGACGUUGUCGUGUGAUGACCAUCGGAGAAAACAUGAAAUAUUAGGAAUCAAUAACACAUAAACAAAUGAGAAAAACUUCAUUUCGAUUUUUCCAGUUGUAAUUAUAAUGUACAGAUCAAUAUAUAUAUCCACCCUGAAUAAAAAUACUAAAAGAUAAAUUGAUCUUAAAUUCCUAAAAGCUGUUGUCUUCCUUGUGGCUUCGUUAACAGUGAUUCCAUUUAUAAUUUUUAUGUUUAAA
rnacentral:lncRNA from 1 species